ensembl:snoRNA SNORD22 Small nucleolar RNA SNORD22
UCCUGAUGAUGUAAUUUCCCCAUGUCUUACAUACUGAACUAGUUCCAGAGCCUGAAAAGGUGAACCCACUGGAGCUGUCAGUAUAAACUGGUGAACAUUUGUUGGUGUCCAACUGUCUGAUGGGAU